rnacentral:rRNA from 1 species
UUGAACGCUGGCGGCAGGCCUAACACAUGCAAGUCGAGCGGACGUAGCAAUACGUUAGCGGCGGACGGGUGAGGAAUGUAUCGGAACGUGCCCAGUCAUGGGGGAUAACACAGGGAAACUUGUGCUAAUACCGCAUACGCCCUGAGGGGGAAAGUGGGGGACCGCAAGGCCUCACGUGAUUGGAGCGGCCGAUACCCGAUUAGCUAGUUGGUGAGGUAAAGGCUCACCAAGGCUACGAUCGGUAGCUGGUCUUAGAGGACGAUCAGCCACACUGGAACUGAGACACGGUCCAGACUCCUACGGGAGGCAGCAGUGGGGAAUAUUGGACAAUGGGGGCAACCCUGAUCCAGCCAUGCCGCGUGAGUGAAGAAGGCCUUCGGGUUGUAAAGCUCUUUGAGCGGGGAGGAAGGUUCGAUGGUUAAUAGUCAUCGGAAUUGACGUUACCUGCAGAACAAGCACCGGCUAACUCUGU